UAGGGAAUCUUCGGCAAUGGGGGCAACCCUGACCGAGCAACGCCGCGGGAGUGAAGAAGGUUUUCGGAUCGUAAAGCUCUGUUGUAAGAGAAGAACGUGUGUGAGAGUGGAAAGUUCACACAGUGACGGUAACUUACCAGAAAGGGACGGCUAACUACGUGCCAGCAGCCGCGGUAAUACGUAGGUCCCGAGCGUUGUCCGGAUUUAUUGGGCGUAAAGCGAGCGCAGGCGGUUUAAUAAGUCUGAAGUUACAGGCAGUGGCUUAACCAUUGUUCGCUUUGGAAACUGAUAAACUUUAGUGCAGAAGGGGAGAGUGGAAUUCCAGGUGUAGCGGUGAAAUGCGUAGAUAUAUGGAGGAACACCGGUGGCGACAGCGGCUCUCUGGUCUGUAACUGACGCUGAGGCUCGAAAGCGUGAGGAGCAAACAGG
rnacentral:rRNA from 1 species